rnacentral:rRNA from 1 species
CGCCUUAUACUCCUACGGGAGGCAGCAGUGGGGAAUUUUGGACAAUGGGGGCAACCCUGAUCCAGCCAUGCCGCGUGAGUGAAGAAGGCCUUCGGGUUGUAAAGCUCUUUCAGCCGGGAAGAAAACGCAUGGGUUAAUACCCUGUGUGGAUGACGGUACCGGAAUAAGAAGCACCGGCUAACUACGUGCCAGCAGCCGCGGUAAUACGUAGGGUGCGAGCGUUAAUCGGAAUUACUGGGCGUAAAGCGUGCGCAGGCGGUUUUGUAAGACAGGCGUGAAAUCCCCGGGCUUAACCUGGGAACUGCGUUUGUGACUGCAAGGCUAGAGUACGGCAGAGGGGGGUGGAAUUCCACGUGUAGCAGUGAAAUGCGUAGAGAUGUGGAGGAACACCAAUGGCGAAGGCAGCCCCCUGGGUCGAUACUGACGCUCAUGCACGAAAGCGUGGGUAGCAAACAGGAUUAGAUACCCUAGUAGUCCACGUACCA